CAGAUUUCUGCCCCUUUGCAAUUAGUGAGUUGGAAAAAACAUACAAAUGCGCACCCAUCUGUGAAUCAGUGCAUACUACCUUUGUUAGCAGGAAGUCAUCGAUUUACUUUUUUUGAAUAGUGGUAAAAUUAUUAUUAAAUCCCAAAGGGAAAAAAAGGCUUAAGAACUACACGUGCGCACACACACCAGUCUUUGAAAUGGGCAGCUCAGCCUCUGCUGGAGAUUUAACACCUAGAAAGGAGAAGACUGUUUUGUGAGUGCACAUGCCCUAUAGGAAAAAUCUCUAUGAAAAAAGGAAGAAGUGUUGGAAUAAAUUACAUUUUCUUUUGCACGUACCUCACAAGUCUGAGUCUUUAAACAUUAAUAACUUUAAAGUUAGUUGCCCCUCUCUGCCAAAAUUUUUCUAAUCUCAUAAGUGACUAGUAUGCUUUGCACUUUGUAAUUGGUAUAAUGAAUCAAAAAGAUCUUCAGUAUGAAAUACUGUCUCGCUUUAAACCCAGGGAAUAACUGUGUGUCAGCAGAAGAGUCUGACUCACUCUGUGUAAUAGGGAAAUUCUGACUGGCUAGUUGUUUAAUAGCAUUUUUAUCCAACUCCUGAUUUUUCAUGAAAGGCACUUUCCUACUUGUCAUUACCAGGAACAUAUUUGGAUUCAUGAAUAAUAUUGUAUAAUCCUAAUUUUUUUAUGAGAAAUAUAAAAAUAGGGAGAAGCAAGUUUACUUUCGUUGAAAAGGUCAGAGAAGGCCUUCAUCAUCCCCAUGGUUCAUUGACAAGGAUGCUCGGCCUGCUCUUCACACCUCCCUCAUUGUCUUGUUCAAGUUGAUAGCCACAGUUUUUGAUACCACUGCCUCUGGUUUUAUUCAUCAUAGCAUUUCCUUCUUAGUUUUCUAAUGAAUGUCUAACCCUGUCACUAGACUGUAAGAUCCAUAAAGGCCAGGACUAUGUCUGUUUGGUUCGGCACUGAGCGCCCUGUACCCAGCAAGGCACCUAGCACGUAACAGACCUUUAAUUAAUAUCUGACUGACAGAUCUCAUUCAUCUUCCAAUAUUUAGUUAAAAUUCUACCUGCCUGUAUCCUUACAUAAUCAUUGCUAUUCCCUCCUCUCAGCUCUCUGGCACUUUCUGUUUAGACAAUACAUUUAGGAUAUUCUCAGUCAAUAUUUUCAGUCUGUGAGAAUGUUAAUAGGUUUGUAUGGUCAAAUACACCUAGAAAAUGCCUUUUUAAACCAAGUUGAGCAGUAUCAUUCUUGUGGAGCUUGCUAGUCUUUUAUGGCAGUCUCCAAGAAGAGGAUGUAGUGAAUAGCUCCAGUUUCACUUAAUCGAUCACGGGACCUUAGUUUCAUGGACCAGACUUUGGGAAGCCCUGUCACACACACACACACACACACACACACACACACAUAGUCAUCAGAAAAGUCAUGAGGUAUUUUUCUGUUUUUAUAUGCAAAUAUAUAUACAUAAUUUUAUGUCUAUAACUUCUCACAAGAAGA